rnacentral:rRNA from 1 species
AUUGAACGCUGGCGGCAGGCCUAACACAUGCAAGUCGAGCGAGCGGCGGACGGGGGAGUAAUGUCUGGGAAACUGCCUGAUGGCGGGGGAUAACUACUGGAAACGGUAGCUAAUACCGCAUACCAUCAGAUGUACCCAGAGGGGAUUGGCUAGUAGGUGGGGUAACGGCUCACCUAGGCGACGAUCCCUAGCUGGUCUGAGAGGAUGAUCAGACACACUGGAACUGAGACACGGUCGAGACUCAUAAGGGAGUCAGCAGUGGGGAAUAGUGCACAAUGGGCGCAGGCCUGAUGCAGCAAUGCCGCGUGUGUGAAGAAGGCCUUCGGGUUGUAAAGCACUUUCAGCCGGGAGGCGUGACCCGCAGAAGAAGCACCGGCUAACUCCGUGCCAGCCGCCGCGGUAAUUC